GCUGCGGUGGUGUAGCCCGGAUAAGCAUAGCGGCCUUUCGAGCCGCUGAUCGCGGGUCCAAAUCCCGCCCGCAGCACCA
rnacentral:tRNA from 1 species